rnacentral:piRNA from 1 species
GAUCACAACCGCCAGGGCCUCCAC